UACGUAGGGGGCUAGCGUUGUCCGGAAUCAUUGGGCGUAAAGAGCGUGUAGGCGGCCCGGUAAGUCCGCUGUGAAAGUCGGGGGGCUCAACCCUCGAAUGCCGGUGGAUACUGUCGGGCUAGAGUGCGGAAGAGGCGAGUGGAAUUCCUGGUGUAGCGGUGAAAUGACGCAGAUAUCAGGAGGAACACCAAUUGCGAAGGCAGCUCGCUGGGACGUAACUGACGCUGAGACGCGAAAAGCGUGGGGAGCAAACAGG
rnacentral:rRNA from 1 species